CCCUCUGGGGUGCACCAGGCAAAAAUGUCGCUGAAACAAUACACGGCGCAAAUCAUCAAGGGCUGCUACCUCGACUGCGACAAUCCCGCAGCCGAAUGGCAAAACAUUCAUAAAGAGGUCAACGCCAUCAAAAAGAGGCUCAACGCCCUUCCGGUCAAACACUUCCACCUGGAAUCGGCCAAUAUGGAUUUGCGGAUUACGCCCGGCGAUCAACGCAAGUGGGCAGGCGUAUCCGGCCAUAAUAUACCCAGCUUCGAGGUCUUUGUCUCUCCCAAUUGGCGCGGAACGGAAGGUGUCUAUUACGCCAAUCUCCCUUCCUUCCGCAGCGGCAACUAUGUGGAGGAUGUCCGCAUCACGUUUGCCAAAGGCAAAGCGAUGAAGGUCGAAGCCAGGCAGGGAGAGC
rnacentral:rRNA from 1 species